rnacentral:rRNA from 1 species
CCUACGGGGGGCAGCAGUGAGGAAUAUUGGUCAAUGGGCGCGAGCCUGAACCAGCCAAGUCGCGUGAGGGAAGACGGUCCUCUGGAUUGUAAACCUCUUUUGUCGGGGAGCAAAAGACGCCACGUGUCGCGUUCCGCGCGUACCCGAAGAAAAAGCAUCGGCUAACUCCGUGCCAGCAGCCGCGGUAAUACGGAGGAUGCGAGCGUUAUCCGGAUUUAUUGGGUUUAAAGGGUGCGCAGGCGGAAGGUCAAGUCGGCGGUAAAAUUGAGAGGACAAACCUCUUCGAGCCGUUGAAACUGGUUGUCUUGAGUGAGCGAGAGGUAUGCGGAAUGCGUGGUGUAGCGGUGAAAUGCAUAGAUAUCACGCAGAACUCCGAUUGCGAAGGCAGCAUACCGGCGCUCAACUGACGCUCAUGCACGAAAGUGUGGGUAUCGAACAGGAUUAGAUACCCGGGUAGUC